UGAAUACGAGACGCUAAGGCGUCGAAGUAGUGAAUGUCAUACUUCCAAGAAAAGCUUGCACUGUCAUAGAUAAAAAACGCCUGUACCAUAACCGACACAGGUGGGUAGGUAGAGUAUACUAAGGGGCGCGAGAUAACUCUCUCUAAGGAACUCGGCAAAAUAACUCCGUAACUUCGGGAGAAGGAGUGCCUUAUUCGUAAGGUUGCAAUAACAAGAUCCAAGCAACUGUUUAUCAAAAACACAGGUCUCCGCUAAGUCGUAAGACGAUGUAUGGGGGCUGACGCCUGCCCAGUGCCAGAAGGUUAAAGAAGUUGGUUAGCAAUUGCGAAGCUGAUAACUGAAGCCCUGGUGAACGGCGGCCGUAACAAUAACGGUCCUAAGGUAGCGAAAUUCCUUGUCGGGUAAGUUCCGACCCGCACGAAAGGCGUAAUGAUUUGGAUACUGUCUCGGAGAGGGGCUCGGUGAAAUAGACUUGUCUGUGAAGAUGCGGACUACCUGCACCAGGACAGAAAGACCCUAUGAAGCUUUACUGUAACUUGAAAUUGAAAUUGGACUUUAUUCGCGCAGUAUAGGUGGGAGGCGUUGAUUAUAAUCUUGUGGGAUUAUUGGAGCCAUCAGUGAGAUACCACUCUUGUAAUGUUAGAUUUCUAACUUUGAAUCAUUAUCUGGUCAAAGAACAGUUUCAGGCGGGCAGUUUGACUGGGGCGGUCGCCUCCUAAACGGUAACGGAGGCGUACAAAGGUUUCCUCUGAACGGUUAGAAAUCGUAUCUAGAGUGUAAAGGCAUAAGGAAGCUUGACUGUGAGACCUACAAGUCGAGCAGGGACGAAAGUCGGUCUUAGUGAUCUGACGGUACUGAGUGGAAAGGCCGUCACUCAACGGAUAAAAGUUACUCUAGGAUAACAGGCUGAUCUCCCCCAAGAGUUCACAUCGACGGGGAGGUUUGGCACCUCGAUGUCGGCUCAUCGCAUCCUGGGGCGGUAGUACGUCCCAAGGGUUGGGCUGUUCGCCCAUGAAAGCGGUACGCGAGCUGGGUUCAGAACGUCGUGAGACAGUUCGGUCCAUAUCCGGUGUAGGCGUUAGAAUAUUGAGAGGAGCCUUCUUUAGUACGAGAGGACCGAGAAGGACAUACCUCUGGUGUACCAGUUAUCGUGCCAACGGUAAACGCUGGGUAGCUAUGUAUGGAGUGGAUAACCGCUGAAAGCAUCUAAGUGGGAAGCCCACCUCAAGAUAAGUAUUCUCAC
rnacentral:rRNA from 1 species